AUUGAACGCUGGCGGCAGGCCUAACACAUGCAAGUCGAACGAGUGGCGGACGGGUGAGUAAUGUCUGGGAAACCGACGGAUGGAGGGGGAUAACUCCUGGAAACGGUAGCUAAUACCGCAUACCAUCAGAUGUGCCCAGAGGGGAUUAGCUUGUUGGUGGGGUAACGGCUCACCACGGCGACGAUCACUAGAUGGUCUGAGAGGAUGACCCGCCACACUUGAACUGAGACACGGUCCAGACUCCUACGUGAGGCAGCAGUGGGGAAGAUUGCACAAUGGUCGAAAGCCUGAUGCAGCCAUGACGCGUGUAUGAAGAAGGCCUUCAGGUUGUAAAGUACUUUCAGCAGGGAGGCGUUACCCGCAGAAGAAGCACCGGCUAACUCCGUGCCAGCAGCCGCGGUAAUAC
rnacentral:rRNA from 1 species